ensembl:lncRNA
GUUAAGAGUUUACAAACUGCAAACAACAGAAGCUGACGUGGACUCAUUUUAAUUGCAAAAGGAGUGCACUAGAAAAGCAUCAGAGAGAAUUUUCAGCAAAGCCGUGAUCAUCUGCAGACAUGACCAUCCUUUUCUACUCCUUACUGUCUUCAGCAUGACUUGUAGAUCUUCUUAUCAAGGAGGAAAUCUGCUUUCCACCCUCUUGAGUCUGAUCCUCUGAUUUGCUUUGGCCAACAGAAUGCAGUGGAAAUGACGACGACCCAAGACUGAGCCUGGGCGUACAGCCCUGUGCUUCUCCUCCUUCUCUGAGCACUUUUCCCAGCGGCGGGUGAAUAAGCUCAGCCUAGAAUUCUGGAACACGAGACUAUAAAGAACAGCCAAUCCCAGCUUAGGCCACCCUACAUCAGCAGUCCAUAUGGGUGGCUCCAGUUCACCAAUUCUCAAUUUUAGUGUGUGUGUGACUCUUACCAAGACCAGGAGAAAGGCUGACCCUCAGAAUUAUGAGGUAAACAGUGGUAGGGACCAAACCCAGGGCCUCACUUGCACUAGGCUCAUCUCUGACACUGAGCUACACCCAGCCCGGAGAUGUCUCAAGGUUUGGGGAAGCUGCACCUCACUCCCUUAGCUGAGGCUGGAGACCGCGCCCUCCCAGCGGGUGGGAUCAAC